AAAGGUUGGGAACUCGAGUGGAUAAGAAUGAUAUUUUUGCCAUUGGAUCUCUCAUGGAUGACUACCUGGGUCUUGUGAGCUGAUUCUUCUGCCAAGAAUAUAAGACAUAUGAAACUUGAUGCUGUGGUGUUGCUAAAUAGUUUGUAUAUACUGUAAUUAUUUUCCCAUUCAUUUGAAGUUGUCUUUUUCCCCCUCUUUUUAUUAUUUUUAUCCCCAUGUUAGUAGUAUAUCCAUAGUUUUUCCCAGUUCAGUUGCGGAACAACAUCAGGUUAAAUGGGAAGAGCAUGUAGCUCUACGUGAUGAAAAGACUUUGAAUUGUUUAAUUAAAAUAUCAUCAGUU